ensembl:lncRNA
GCAUAGCAGAAGAUAGAAAAUAAAACUGCAGAGAUAUAUUUAAUCUAACCCCUUAAUAUCACAAGUAGAGAUUUAAAUUAAAUUAAAUUAAAUUAAAUUAAAUUAAAUUAAAUUAAAUUAAAAGUAUUUAUAUAUACAGUACUCAAAAACAGUACUCAGUACUCCAUUCUUCCUCCCUCAUCCUUGACAGAUUGCCUUUCUGCACUUCAUACCUGGUUCACCUCAAACUUCCUCAAACUUAACAGUGAUAAAACCGAAAUCCUUUUAGUCGGUACUAAAUCCACUCUACUCAAAGUUGACAGUUUUUCCCUCUCAAUUGACAGCUCCAUAGUUUCCCCCUCCCCCCAGGUAAAGAGUCUGGGUGUCAUCGUCGACGGCUCACUCUCCUUCAAAUCUCAUAUCAACAUCUCCACCCGCACCGCCUACUUCCAUCUCCGUAACAUAAAUCGCCUCCGUCCCUCCCUCACCCCCCACACCACCUCUAUUCUUGUACAUAGCCUUGUCACCUCCCGUAUCGACUACUGUAAUUCUCUCCUCUUUGGUCUCCCCCAGAAAUCCCUCCAUAAGCUCCAACUGGUCCAGAACUCAGCUGCUCGUAUCAUCUCCCUCACCCCCUCUUUCCACCACAUCACCCCCAUCCUACAGCAACUCCACUGGCUUCGAAUUCACUUCCGUAUCAACUUUAAAAUUCUUCUUCAUACUUUUAAAGCCAUCCACAACCUUGCCCCUCCUUACCUGUCUGACCUCCUUCACACUGCCACCUCCACCCGCUCCCUCAGAUCCUCCUUUUCCAUCCACCUAACUGUCCCCUCUGCCCGGCUUACCACCAUGGGGAGCAGAGCUUUCAGCCGCUCUGCUCCCAAACUCUGGAACUCACUCCCACCUGACAUCCGAAACAUUGACUCCUUCCCUCAGUUCAAAUCCUCUCUCAAAACCCACCUUUUCAGGAUUGCAUCCUCACUGUAGUUGCCAUGCUGUUUUUACUUGCACUUUUAAUUUUAAUUGUUUUGUUAUUUGUUUGCUCCUGUUUUAAAUUGUAAAGCGUCCUUGAGUGACAUGAAAGGCGCUGUGAAAUAAAAUGUAUUAUUAUUAUUAUUAUUAUUAGUACCAGUCAAAAGUUUGGACACACCUUCUCAUUCAAUGGUUUUUCUUUAUUUAAAUUUUUUUCUACAUUGCAGAUUAAUAUUGAAGACAUCAAAACUAUGAAGGAACACAUAUGG